rnacentral:rRNA from 1 species
CCUACGGGUGGCAGCAGUGGGGAAUAUUGCACAAUGGGCGAAAGCCUGAUGCAGCAACGCCGCGUGAGCGAUGAAGGCCUUCGGGUCGUAAAGCUCUGUCCUCAGGGAAGAUAAUGACGGUACGUGAGGAGGAAGCCCCGGCUAACUACGUGCCAGCAACCGCGGUAAUACGUAGGGGGCUAGCGUUAUCCGGAAUUAAUGGGCGACAAGGGUGCGUAGGUGGUUUCUUAAGUCAGAGGUGAAGGGCGACGGAUCAACCGGAGUAAGCCUUUGAAACUGGGGAACUUGAGUGCAGGAGAGGAGAGUGGAAUUCCCUGUGUAGCGGUGAAAGGCGUAGAUAUUAGGAGGAACACCAGGUGCGAAGGCGGCUCUCUGGACUGUAACUGACACUGAGGCACGAAAGCGUGGGGAGCAAACAGGAUUAGAUACCCUUGUAGUC